rnacentral:rRNA from 1 species
AUUGAACGCUAGCGGCAGGCUUUACACAUGCAAGUCGAACGAGUGGCGGACGGGUGAGUAAUAUAUCGGAACCUGCCCGGUAGAGGGGGAUAACUACUGGAAAGAGUGGCUAAUACCGCAUACUAUCAGAUCGGCCCAAAUGGGAUUAGCUAGUUGGUGGGGUAAAGGCUCACCAAGGCGACGAUCCGUAGCUGGUCUGAGAGGAUGACCAGCCACACUGGAACUGAGACACGGCCCAGACUCCUACGGGAGGCAGCAGUGGGGAAUUUUGCACAAUGGGGGAAACCCUGAUGCAGCCAUGCCGCGUGUAUGAAGAAGGCCUUCGGGUUGUAAAGUACUUUUGGCGGAGAGGCGUUACCUGCAGAAGAAGCACCGGCUAACUACGUGCCAGCAGCCGCGGUAAUUC